UUAGCAGUUGACCUUGUCAAUAAGGUGCAUAUUAUAUUAUCAUGAGAAUUACGAGUUUUGGUGUAUUAAAUUGUUCAAUUUUGUAGUUGCUCAUUUUCACCUAAUGAUUUUAUAUACCCAAUUGCUUGGUCACUUUCGUGUCUUUUUAUGUCAUUAAAGAGGAUAAACAGGGCGUGCAUAUACUUGUGAACUGUGCAUCAGAUACACUAUUUAUUAUGUAUAAGCUCUCAGUUUACUUGUGUGUUUGUUGAGAGUGCAUGUAUGUAUUUCGAUUGCUAUUUUGGGCCAUUUGUUGUUGAUACCCUUUCAUGCUUAUCAGCAUGGAGGUGAGGGACGCUUAA
rnacentral:misc_RNA from 1 species